GCGGAUGUGGUGAAAUGGUAUACACGCUAGUUUCAGGUACUAGUGCCGCAAGGUGUGGAGGUUCAACUCCUCUCAUCCGCACCA
rnacentral:tRNA from 1 species